GCUAGAAGAUACUUAACUCUCUGGUCGCGUGACAAGGCCCCUUUAGAGUUUCAUGUGGAAAUAUGUUGGUUGCCUUAAAAAUUUGGGCUUUGCUACCUUGGCUCUUUUAAAUUGAAAUGAAUGAGAGAACUUGUGACUUUCCUUCUUCUCUGGUUUAGCUGCUUAUGGACUUAUGAACUUUGUGUACAUUUGCAUCCUGAAGCAUGRUUGGAAAGCCUGUUGUUCCCUCUGGCAAACUGAUAGAAGGGAGAACCACCAGCGCAGGAAACCAAAGAAAAGGUGGCAGAAGAUCUGGGAGCCAGACAGAGCCUGUGCGUGCAACUGGUCA